GCCAUUAAGCUAUCAAAGAUGUGGCCUGUGAAAAAAUGAAACAUUGUCCAGAGAGCUGGAGAAUUCCUCCGAGCUGGGGGAGGAUUGGGAGCAGAGGUGUGUGUGUGUGUGCGUACGUGAGAGCAUGGGGGGGAUUAAAGAAGGUUUGGUGGUGGAGGGCGGGUGGGACAAUGAUGAUGGACAGACAUGGGGGAGCCCGCUCAGUAUCAAAGCAGCAGGAAUGUAGAGCGGGCUGGUAGGACCUGGAACGCUCUCCUAACCCUCUGAUGUGAUGUGAUGUGAUGUGUGAAGUGGAGGGGUGAGUCAGAGCUCAGCACUGCAUGCAGCACCCGAGAUACAGAGCAGGGCCACCGAUACACAGCUGGCCGCCAGGUUUACGCCAGGGCUGCUCGAGAUUGUUGGGCGCACAUGUGGAUUUGUUUUGUUGUCGGACUGCUCUAAUGGAUACCCUCUGUUUUUGGAGGAAAAAAAAAGCCUUCUCCAAAAUAUUCCAAAUUUCUUUUAAGCUCUUUAUUCAAAACACUCCCAGUUUAAAUGUGACAGCAAACCAACAACUCAUCUGUCUGUGUAUCAGCUUUCUGUCAUUUGGGUGUGAAUGGAAAAUGCUUCUUUCCAAAGGCAGGGGGGCAAGAAGGGGGACAUCCUUGCUACACCCACUUGUUCAGUCACUAUCUGAACAAGUCAUCUUGAUAAAGAAUAAAAAAUAAUCAAUACAUCCUUCUUUAAAGUCCCGGUCAUCUUUUGAUCUAUUUCAAACGUUUUUCCAGGGGUCUAAAAUGUGUAAAAAAAAAGUUGUUUCCUAGGACAUUGUUUCUGCAGAGUGGUGGUACCUCUCAGAAAUUCACCCCUGAGUUGUGGGCGGGACCAUUGGUUUGUAGUAAGCUUGCACUAAUCUCUCUCCUGGUGGCAGACAAGAAGAUGGCUGAAAAUCCUUACCAGGAAACAGAAAUUGCCAAAUAUCAUUAGCUGGAAGCAGAAAUUCCACAAGAUUUCAGGGUUGUAGCCACUUUUAUUAAGCAUUCUGUUAUUGUUUAGGAUUAGCUUAAAUGUUUUAAAAGAGGGUGAAUGCUUUAUGAAAAAAUAUUAAGAAAAGUGUUCAGAUUUGUAAAGCUGUAAAGACUUUUACAUUGGCGCUUUAGCUCCAGACCUGAGUUUACGUUUGGCCGCAGUGAGCCACAACCCCUUACAUGAUCAACGUGAAUCAGCUCUGUCACGAAAAAAAUCGCCUUUGCACUAAUAUAAAAUUAAUUUAUAUUAGUAAUAUGUUGCAUAUCAGUUAAAAACUGCUUUAAAGUGGUGCUUACCAGCAUAAAUCUGCUUUUCUCUGCAGAUCAGAAGUCAUGAUUUGUCAUGUAGGUUUUGGCAGAAACACCUCAGGUGGUAAAGGUUUAAAGCUUAAAAGGAAAAAAAAAAAGAAAAAAAUAUUCUAUCUGGGUCACCAGUUAUAUUAGUCUAUUUCAACCAAAAACAAUAGUAUUUUUCAACUGAAAUUUGUGCGUGCAUAGAGGAGGCUAAUGAUUUUCUGCCUCCAGGUCCCACUCCUAUUUUCCCAUGAUUCCUUUGUUUACACUCCCUCCCACUAGCUUACAGCCCCUUACAACCAUAAGCUAACAUUAUCAGUGUAACAAAAAUGGUGAGCAAUAUUGUAGCUAUCCAGACGUACAGUUUUGAGCCACAUAUCAGUUCGGACGAGGAAAACAACGGUGUACAUGGAUCUACUAGUCUGCACAUGGAUGCAUCAGUAUGGAGAUAGCAGGGAGCUAUUGCAGAUUUUACCUAACUACAGGCUUUUUUUAAUGGUCUUUUGAUUUGACUGCUACUGAUUUCAAUUUGAAUGAAGAAAUACUCACCAAUACAAUUUUAAUCUUAAUUUCUUUGUAUAUGUCCUCCAUCAUGGAAAAGGCUACAAGAAUAUGCUAAAAACUGUUGGAGUGGGUCAUUAAAAUUCAAAAUUCAUUUUUUUCCAACUCAGAGCCGCAUUUCAAGUGUGACAGUUUCAUUUGUUUUCUGUCUUGUAAGCGAGCACAGUGUUGUCUGUGGUUUCUUCUGAAGCUUUUACAGUAUCAGUUCAAUUACGGCUGCACAUCCGCUUCUGCUUAAGUCCAUUUGCUCUUACUUAAUGUCGAAACUAUUCCCUGAUGCUUUGUUCUUAACUCCACAGACAAAUCUUCUUUCUCUCCCCUUUCUGUCUCCAGGCUGAGUGGCUCUUUGCUCUUUCCCUCACCCUGCCAGUAAAGCGUAUAACCAGCACUGCUUUUCACCUCCAUCUGCGGGGUCAUUAACCCACUAGAGAUCUUAGUUUAUUUUUCCUUUUUUUUCACUCCCGCAAUGUCUGUAUAUUGUUUUCAUUUUUAUUCUUUUCCUCGAACAAAAGGAAAACAUUCAAUAGUUAUUGAUUUGAGGACAUGCAACUUUUACAGCAGACCCCCCAUUUAAUCACAAAAGCUGAUUUAUAGUGGGCCCUCUGACAAUCCCAUUAAACUGCUGUCUAGCUAAUCAAGUGAAUUCUUUCUCUUGCAGGACCGAUCCUUUAUAAGGCCAGCAGAACAAAUCCUUGCAGUAACAGGAUUGACAAGAAACUGGAAGGUGUGGAGCAGCUUGGGUUUACAUACAAUUCUGAAAAACAUGUUUACAAUGAAGCUGAUCAUAAAGCUGCAGGACACAUGAACGUUACUCAUGAAACAAAGCAGUAAAGCCUUUUAGAAAUGCUUUUCAGAAUGGAGGAAACAUUCACUGGAAUGUUUUCCACCCUUUAAAAAAGAAAACAGAAGCAAUCAUACAAAACAGAAGUCGCAACCCACUUCCCUGAUUUAAAAAAAAAAGUUUCAUAAAAAAUACUCUUUGACAUUCUUUAUAAAUAUAUUAUCAUAAAAACUAAUUUUUUAAACUUCUCAAUUAAAUGUAUACAACUUUUUUGUCAUUGGUGUUUGAGAAAAUAUUUGGUCAAAAAGCUAAUGACUAAAGAAAAAAUAUGUUCUCCAUAAUUACUGUCUUUGUGGUUCAGAGGUAAAGUGGGCGACCUCUGAUUGGAAGAUUGUAGGCUUGGUGUUGAAGUGUCCUUGGGCACGACACUGAACCCCACAUUGGUCCUAGGGUUACAGGAGAGGACAUGGUUUGAAUCCCAGCCCGACACACCCCAAGUCUUUCACAGGACUGCUGCAGGCUCAUCCAGGAGUCCAGCUCAGCACCUCUGGAUCUCAGAGGAGCUACAAUUGAUUUGAUCUCCUCACUUAUUCCUCGAUUGACACAGAUACGGUGUGCCACAGCUCCUUGACAGAAUAAAUCUUUGUCAGUCUCAA